rnacentral:tRNA from 1 species
GGCCCCAUCGUCUAGUGGCCUAGGACACUACCCUCUCACGGUAGGGACACGGGUUCGACUCCCGUUGGGGCUACCA